rnacentral:rRNA from 1 species
AGCGAACGCUGGCGGCAGGCCUAACACAUGCAAGUCGAACGGAUCCUUCGGGAUUAGUGGCGGACGGGUGAGUAACACGUGGGAACGUGCCCUUUGGUUCGGAACAACUCAGGGAAACUUGAGCUAAUACCGGAUGUGCCCUUCGGGGUAAAGAUUUAUCGCCAUUGGAGCGGCCCGCGUCUGAUUAGCUAGUUGGUGAGGUAAAGGCUCACCAAGGCGACGACCAGUAGCUGGUCUGAGAGGAUGAUCAGCCACAUUGGGACUGAGACACGGCCCAAACUCCUACGGGAGGCAGCAGUGGGGAAUCUUGCGCAAUGGGCGAAAGCCUGACGCAGCCAUGCCGCGUGAAUGAUGAAGGUCUUAGGAUUGUAAAAUUCUUUCGCCGGGGACGAUAAUGACGGUACCCGGAGAAGAAGCCCCGGCUAACUUCGUGCCAACCGCCGCCGUAAAAC